ACGGGAACCCAGGCCGCUGGUUUUGCCUGAAGAGGGAAGAACCAAAUGGGAUGUGCUACCGAAGAAACUUAUGCCUGCUCCUGUUUUCCUGCUAUCAGAGGUCUGGCUGUAGCUAAAAGGCUUCCUCGUGGCAGACUAAACAUCUGACUCAGCGUGACUAAGAUGACUGUACUGCUAAACACCACACAGAAGAGGAGCAGCAGAGGAGAAGGUCUGCCUACAUUACUGUCUUCCAAGUUGCACCUUGAAUUUGUUGAACUGCAUAAGAUGUCUUCUGUGCCUGGCCAGGUGUGCCCCUGCUCUCCUACACGCUGCUAAUGGCUGAUCCGAGAGGAGU